UGACGCAGCGACGCCGCGUGAGGGAUGAGGCCUUCGGGUUGUAAACCUCUUUUAGCAGGGAAGAAGCGAAAGUGACGGUACCUGCAGAAGAAGCACCGGCUAACUAUGUGCCAGCAGCCGCGGUAAUACAUAGGGUGCAAGCGUUGUCCGGAAUUAUUGGGCGUAAAGAGCUCGUAGGUGGUUUGUCACGUCUGAUGUGAAAAUCUGGGGCUCAACCCCGGACCUGCAUUGGAUACGGGCGAACUAGAGUGUGGUAGGGGAGACUGGAAUUCCUGGUGUAGCGGUGGAAUGCGCAGAUAUCAGGAGGAACACCGAUGGCGAAGGCAGGUCUCUGGGCCGUUACUGACGCUGAGGAGCGAAAGCGUGGGGAGCGAACAGGAUUAGAUACCCUGGUAGUCCACGCCGUAAACGGUGGGUGCUAGUUGUGGGAACCUUCCCCUGGUUGUGCGACGCAUCUAACGCAUUUAACGCCCCCGCCUGGGGGAGUACGAGCCGCAAAUUAAAACU
rnacentral:rRNA from 1 species